AGCCAUGUUUUUUUUACAAUCGAUUUUUAACGACGCCACGCGAUCUUUGUAUGAAAGAAUUAAAUAUUUAAUAAUUAAUUAAGUUUAAUAUAAAUAUUUCUAAAAAGUUGAGAGUUCUUUGAAGAAUGGCAAAAAUCAAGUACAAACAUCUUGGUUUAGAGGCGUCAGACAACCAAAGUUCAAAUCGUAAUAGCAUGGAAGAUCUCGAGAGAGGAAAUAAAAUUUAUUAAAUAAAAAAAAAAAAAAAAACAAAGCAAGUUCAAUCGUAGUAAAUGUGGAAAUAUUUGAAAUUGAACAAAUUUCCGCCACACAUCAAAUCGUAGAUUUGAAGAUUGAGAAAAAAAAAAGAAGAAAAUGGAAGACCAAAGCAAAAAAUUUAUUGAAGACAAAAAUUCUGAUCUUCAUGGAAAAUUAAAAAGAGUUUUGAAAAAUUGAGAUAGAACUCGUAAAAAUUCUCAUCACUUGGAGUGAAAAUUAUUUUUUUCUAUAUUUUACAAAUAUUUUUUUUUAUUAAUAAUUUAGUCUUUAAGAUUUAUUUUUUUAAUUACUAUAUUCAUUUAUUUAAUUAUUCCUUUUAUGUUUCACAUUAUAAUAUGUUUAUUAUUAAUAUAAAUCGAAAUUUUUAUUUAAAUAAUUUUUUAUUUCAAUUUUAAUUUAAUUUUUACAUUUUGAUUAAAUUUAGUUUCUUAGGAUAAAAAAAAAAUUCUUCUAAGCAAUGCAACAAUCUUUAAAU